UUGACAUCCUGGGGACAAAAGUCUUCUGUUUAUCCAUAGAACAGGUACAGCACAGUCAGCUACAGUUCAAGCUUCCCCACCAACGCACUUCACACCUGAACCAAAGGGGGCCGCAUCUAGGAGAGAGAAGAGAGUAGAUUCUCCAUGGUUCAUUCAGUCCUCUCU
rnacentral:sRNA from 1 species